rnacentral:rRNA from 1 species
GAUGAACGCUGGCGGCGUGCUUAACACAUGCAAGUCGAACGGAACUGUUUGAAUGAAGUUUUCGGAUGGAUUUUAAACAGUUUAGUGGCGGACGGGUGAGUAACGCGUGGGUAACCUGCCUCACACUGGGGGAUAACAGUUGGAAACGACUGCUAAUACCGCAUAAUGCUUUUGAGCGGCAUCGCUUGAAAGCCAAAGAUUUAUCGCUGAAAGAUGGUCUCGCGUCUGAUUAGCUAGUUGGUGAGGUAACGGCUCACCAAGGCGACGAUCAGUAGCCGGUCUGAGAGGAUGAACGGCCACAUUGGGACUGAGAUACGGCCCAG